CUCAGGGCUGUUCGGCAGACUGUCAGCCAGCAAAGAUAUCCAUGUGAACCUGCCUACUCCGUUUUCUAAAAUAAUAAACUCAUUGCAGGAUUCUCAAGCCUCAUGCAUUGACCAUGAGACACACGCAUUUCAACCAGUUCACACGCCACACCUUGCGAAGGAAAUGGCAACCAAGUUGUCCUACUAAUGUUGUAUUGUGCACGUAUUCCCCAGUCGGCCACCGUACACUUAUUGCGCGAACACACAAUGAUCUGGAUUAUCAUCUGUGUCGCCCUUGCACAGGUCUUUAUACCAACAAAAUCACCUGUGACCUUGGAUGACGCCUUGUCAUGUAUAAGUUCCGGUGUUCUCCUGAGAUCAGUCCUACGGAAUCUUUUCGUGAGUUCAUGGGAUUCCGAGUAACCGCUUAGCUGUAUUGCAGGCGGGUAGAUGGAUCCCUGGCAUUCAGGAUAGUUCUUUUGACCGGUUCAGUUAGCCCUCUAGCGGCCCCACAGUUGGAGGCGGCUUGGAUUGGAUCGGGAUGCCAAAUCUGACCUUCCAAUUUAUGGUGGAGAAAACUUGCUCGCACAAGCAUGUGGAUACAAAGAUGGACAGGACCCCAAAUGCAUACUUCACUGUCAGGUGUCGGAAUGGCAUUCUAUGUAUCCGGUUUUGGGAGGUUUUCAGUAUCAUGCCACUUGUGCCCAUAAAAAAGACGAGCUCUGACGAGCAAGAUCUUCAAGAUCAGCUGUCAAUCUUCUGAACUUUGACACCCAAUAGUCUUUUUCAGCUAUGUCUGCCAGUUCGAUCUCACGAUUGGGUUGGCUUACAUCUGUAAAUGCCGACAUAUUCAACAUAAUAGAUCGAUGCUCGGGAGUGACGGGAAAAACGGGGGGGGGUCAUCCAGGGUCACAGGUGACUUUGUAUAGAGACUCGACCUGCGCAAGCGUGAGACAGAAGAUAAUCCAGUGUUAAGCACUGCCUCUGGCGGUCAGUAAGGAUAAAACUAUAAUACUCAUACGCCUUGUGAGGCAAUUUUGUAAUUGUUGAUUCGGGGCGAGCCAAAACUAAAUCAAUUGAAUUCAAAUGAAGUGAAUGGACAUUUUAUAUAGAAAUAAAAUAUACAUUAUUAUUUAUUUAUUAGGCUUUCUCACAAAUAUUUAGGCCUAACAAAGAGCUGUGAUCGAGGAAGGGGCGGAGACAUGGAAACCGUGAAAACGGAAAAUAACUGUCUUGUAUCGUUAAUGGGUCAUGUUUUUUGUCAUCCUAACCUAAUAAACAGCAGAUUUCUUUAUCUUACUAUUGGGUUCAUCAAGGAGAAUUCAAUUAAUUUUAUUUUGUAUAGCCCAAAAUCACAAAUUGGCCUCAGAGGGCUUUACAGUCUGUACACAUGCGACAUUCUCUGUCCCGAAACCCACCAUCGGCACAGGAAAUACUCCGCAAAAAAUGAAAAACCCUUCCACCUUCCUUAAGGAGAACGUCAUAGGAGGAAUUCCUGCCCUGGGAAUGGACAGACUACAAUGGAUGCCAUGUGUACAGAAUGAACAAUGUAAAACAUGUACAAUACAUUCAUUUCCUAUAACAGAUGAUUCAAAUAAUUGCGAGUAGCAAGCCAGGCGCACGGCAGGACCACGGCAGGGACAACCACCAUCCUGAGAAGCCUAUGGGGAGAAAAAAGACAAAGAAUUUAGGAAAGGGUAAUGUUGGUUUAUGAUGACAGUAAGAGUAAUAUGAUCCAUAUUUAAAAUAACAAUGAUGAUCGCAGGUGUCAGCAGGGCCACGGUAGGAGGCAGGCCAGCUCUAACUAAAAGCUUAAAUCUUUCCUCUUUAAUAUUGCUUAAUCUUAAAAGAGCUGACCGAAUCUUCCCCCCGGAAUGAAAGUGGAAGCUCGUUCCACAAAAGAGGAGCUUGAUAACUGAAGGCUCUGGCUCCCAUCCUACUUUUUAAAACCAUAGGAACAACAAGUAACCAAGCAUCUAUAGAGCGCAGCUGCCUUGUAGGGAAAUACGGUGUUACAAGCUCUAAGAUAAGGUCGGUGCCUCACCAGCAAGUGCCUUGUAGGUGAGAAGUACCUUAAAUUCUAUUCUUGAUUUAACAGAGAGCCAGUGCAGAGAAGUUAAAACAGGAGUAAUAUGAUCCAUUUUCUUAGUGGCCAACUGUGGGUGAGUGGGGAGCACGGUCGUCCUCCAAUCAGAGGGUUGUGGGUUCGAUCCCAGUCCUGGCUAACCCGCAUGUCGAUGUGUCCUUGGGUAAGACACUUAACCCAACAUUGCUCCUGUAGCUGCGACUACAGUGUGUGAAUGUUAGUUACUGAUGGCAGGUGUCACUGUGUAUGGUUCUCCUGUCAUCAGUGUGUGAAUGGGUGAAUAAUGUCAUGUAGUGUUAAAGCGCUUUGAGUGGUCGGAAGACUAGAAAAGCGCUAUACAAGUACAGGCCAUUUACCAUUUAUUGUUAAUACAUAUUGUUAUACCCUUUUGUAUUUAAGCCGUGUGUCUCUUGUGUCACUUGUCGCGUCAUUGUCUUUUGCCACGCAUGUCCUUGUCUAACAUCGUGGAUGUCCGUAGUUUCAUGCCUGCUGUUCUUCCCCUGGUUCCUGUGUUUUUUGGCCUUUUGACUAAUAAAGUCUUUUGUUUUCCUGAGAGGUCUGCAUUUGAGUCCUGCCUCCCCCACGCGUCCCUGACAGAUGGUGAGAUGCUUCGCGCUGGUUUGAUCUGUCCCCAAACACCCUCUCACGUCUGAAAGCAUGUCUCAAUAUCAGUGCUUCUUCAUCCAAAACGUGCUUCAGACAUGGGCAUCACGGUGCAGAAGGAAAAACAGGUGAUUGGGACUUUAUAUAUCGCCCUCAUCACGUUUACAAUUGUUCACUGCGCAGUUUCGCCCACCUCCACGUCGGUCCGUCCGUCCGCAACAAUUACCCUCCCCCCCAGUAUUCCAACGUGUCCAGCAGACCUUCUUAACCGGUGAAAAUAUUGUCUUGACAUGAAAAAUGGUGAGAUCAAAGAGGUUGGGGUCCACUGCAAUAGUAGGGUUUAAAUCAAACUGGUGGCAGUAAUAGUCACAAGUAAUGGAUGUUAAUGGGAAUAAAUCCAAACAUCCAGAAGACAACAUAAUAACUGUUAAACACGUUUGUUUCGGAUCAGAGCAGCAGCUGAUUUAACACAUGAGACUCCAGGAUUAAGUUUAGCCUAGCUGUUAGCCUGGUCUGGAGCAGGGUGGCUGCAAAGAAUAAAUCGCCAUGGUUACUUGGCUGGGUUUAAUUCAACCUGCUUUCGUGCAACCAAGUCAAAGCUAAAUUCAACCAGGAGAAUGUGAAUAUCCCAGCUUAAUCCCUUAUCCUGGUUUCGUGCAAUAGCCCUCUGGUGAUAGUUAUGUAGAUUAGUGUGUCAGCUGGAUAACUAUGAUGACACAUCAUAAUGUCAAUUAUGUCAAUGUUUUCCAUAAUCUGAGCUAGUGGAAGCAUGUAUAGGUUGAACAGAUGGGGUCCUAGUAUUAAAUCUUGGGGAACACCACAUGCAAAGUGUAUUCUCCUUUCUCCAGCCUUUUAAAGUAGGAUUCAAACCAGUUAAGCGCUGUGCCAGAGUCCCACCCAGUUCAUUAGUUGGUCUAGUAGUAUGUCAUGGGCCACCAGGUCAAUUCCGCACUGACAUCCAGUAAUACAAAGACUGCAAAUUCCAUUGUCUGUGUUUAAGUGGACCUGUUGAAAGACCAAAAAAAAUGUGUUUCGGUACACUGGUAACUAAUGUAAUUAUGUUAACACUGUAGUAUAAUGACAUGAAGGUCAGUAGCCUUAGAUUUCUGCAGCCAAAAGAAAUAAUGCUCAAGCUAUCAAGAGAGUGAACUACAGGGGCCAUCAUAGGAAAAAACACUGCAUGGGGUAGAAAACGUCAUUACAACCAAUGUAAAAAAUAAUGUGUGGCAGGGGUACAUGGAAGCAAGGUUCCAGAAUAAGGCAGGUAGACAGAGACAUUAAUCAAGUAACAAAAAUGAUCCUUUCUGAUUUGUUUGAUGGGCUGCACACUGCAUGAAAAGUGGGAUUUUCGGCAGUUUGCGGCACUGUUAAUUGUCGUGGAAUUUCAGGUUUGCGGCAAUUUGCGGGCAACGCCGAAAACUGCCGUAAAUUGUCAGAAAUUGAUGUGGGCCUCGCUUGGCAGUUGUCCCCCAUGACCCCCCUCCUCCUAAUUCUAGGGGAGGCUUUGACAUGUAAAUGAAAAUGCUGUGAGCUAUACAAAUGCAAAUCAGGGUCGCAGAGGGAGUUUUAGCCCAGGUGACAUUUUUUUAAAAGGUAAGAAAAUCUCUGGUACAAAUAGAUCAGGCUCAGUAGCCUAAUUAUAGACUCUUACAUUUUAGCUUGAAUUGAUUUAUUUUAUUCAAAUAUGCUAGAUUACUGUGUACGCCAUUAGCAAUGGCAAAUGUUAUGUAAAAAAAGGUACACAAAAUAACUUGAGUUUUAAUCAAGGUAAAAUGAGCAUUCCAUGCAAACAACAUUUGAAUCAGAAUGAGGGGUCUGCAGAGAUCACAGUCUCCUAGAGCUCAACUACAGUGCAUAGUGGCAGGACUACAGUGACCUUUUCUUUGGUCUUACUUAAAUGCACAGAGGAUGUAUUAACCACACAUCUUCUAGCAAUGCGCUCAACUGGCAGAAAUGAUGCUGGGUAUGACGUGUCUGUUCCCUGCAAGCCCCAAACUUCUAUUGGCUUUCCAUAAAAAUGUCUGUCUGGGUGGGGAUGAAGCCAGGAAACUUGUGCAAGAACAUGUUUAAAUGCCGUUCCCUUUGACACAACAUUAACAACUAUAAACUGCUUUAUAAUGGCUGGUCGUAGUUCUGGUAGAGGGUCAAGGACGGGUUCCUCAAAACUGUGUUUCCACACCACUUAGCAUAAACACAUGCUGACCUUUAUGCUCUGCAUCUAUCGAUUAAGUUACAUUCAUAUAUGUUACCAGUUUACAUGUCAUGGCAAAACAUUCAACCUCAGUGACACAAGGGUACAUGUGAUGAUACAUUGUCAACAUUGCAUGUCUGUCAGACUCAUCCAAGAGUGCCCGGUGGAAUGGAGAAAGAGGCACCACUGUACAGUUUUCUAGGGAAAGUCGUUCUGCUGACACCAAAACACUGCUUUACAUGAAGCAUAUCAGCUGUUUCAAAGUCCCAACCAUUUGCCUUAAAAUACUGGUCCUUCCGUAUAACAAUAACCUCCUAUGUGAUUGGAGGACCCUUAGACUCCUCGUCCAAUCACGUGUGAGGUCAUAGGCAUGACUGAUACAGCAGUACUUGCAAGACGAGCAUACAAACAGUGUGUUACUAUAUUCAGAAGAACUGUAUCUCCAGUUCCUUUUGUUUGGUUUGUGCUGCUUCGUGAAUAAUGGCGGGACUCAACUCGCCUUCAACUCCUCUCCGCGGUCACCAACUUUCGCCCAGUCCGCAGACAGACGAGAAGAAGCUGCUGAAUGCUCUCAGUGGAUCGUCUCGUCAACUCCAACAACAAACUGCCGAUAUCAACGAGCGGUUCGCUCCACUGGAGCGUUCGGGACUCUGCGGGUUUCUGUCCAUGGAGGAGAGGAACCGACUCAAAGAAGAGGAGACGGGCGCACAAUCCCACGAUAGCGGAAGCAGUGCGCCGUUUUCACAACUCCGAGACGAACUACAGGCGCUACGAACCGGAGCAAGGGAUUUACAGAAUAUGCUUUCAUUCUGCGGUAUAAGGAAAUAUAUACGUAUGGAUACCGAUCAUAACUGUACAUUUUGUUUUCACAGACUAAUCUCGCCUCAUAAUGAGGCGGUGACCUCGUAUUUGCUCCGGGAAAAGUUCAGAUUUAGACGACGUCAUUGUGUCUGCCUGUGAGACGUAUUGUGAGACGGGACGCAGGAGCUUCAGGUUCAGCCGGAAAACACUCAUUGCGAGCGGAAGCUGCGAAGGAUUCAGUGCGGAGUCGAGCGAGAAGAAAGAGGCUGCUGGAAUCGAGACAAAGUGUGCUGGCUGAUGACGAGGUGGAACGCUGGAAAUCCGCCACCGUAGAGCUCACGUCGGACGGAGGGGACGGCGUUGUUGGCGGGGUCUCGGGGUGGAUUGUACGGUCGCCACACACGAGCCGCCUGCACAACAGACCUGCCUCGGAAAACACGGCGCCAGUGACGGUCUACAACCCAGAGGAGGCAAACGGAC
ensembl:lncRNA